UACGUAGGGUGCAAGCGUUAAUCGGAAUUACUGGGCGUAAAGCGUGCGCAGGCGGUUGUGCAAGACAGAUGUGAAAUCCCCGGGCUUAACCUGGGAAUGGCAUUUGUGACUGCACGGCUAGAGUGUGUCAGAGGGGGGUAGAAUUCCACGUGUAGCAGUGAAAUGCGUAGAUAUGUGGAGGAAUACCGAUGGCGAAGGCAGCCCCCUGGGAUAACACUGACGCUCAUGCACGAAAGUGUGGGGAGGCAAACAGG
rnacentral:rRNA from 1 species